GCGUCUAUAUACGUAUAGCAUAUCAAUAAGCGGAGGAAAAGAAACUAACUAGGAUUCCCUUAGUAACGGCGAGUGAAGCGGGAAGAGCUCAAAUUUGAAAUCUUCAAGGUUCUACCUUGACGAAUUGUAGUUUAAAGAAGUGUUUUCUGUUGGAGUUUUGGUAAAAGUUCUUUGGAAUAGGACAUCAUAGAGGGUGAGAAUCCCGUAUUUGACCAUUAUUUCCAACUUUGUGAUACACUUUCAAAGAGUCGGAUUGUUUGGGAAUGCAGUCCAAAAUGGGUGGUAAAUUUCAUCUAAAGCUAAAUACUGGCGAGAGACCGAUAGCGAACAAGUACCGUGAGGGAAAGAUGAAAAGAACUUUGAAAAGAGAGUUAAACAGUACGUGAAAUUGUCAAAAGGGAAGCGUUUGACACCAGUGUUGUUUUCUCGAAAAUCAAUUAAAAAUGACUUGAUUUUGUGUUGUAUUGACCUUAAAAGCUUUCUUCACUCUUUUCAUGUUAUUUUUAAUGCACUUUUCGUUUAACAAGUCAACAUCAGUUUCUUUUGUUGUAAAAAGGUCAUUGGAAGGUGGCUUUCUUUUCGGAGAAAGUGUUUAUAGCCUUUGACUUCUGCAAUCGGAGAGAUUGAGGUCUGCAGCGUAGAUCCUUCUGGAUUAGAUACAUUUGUGCUAAGUUAUAGCCUUUCAUAGACAACUUGUUGACUAUGAUCAGUCAUGUAGCUUACUCGCUUAUGCUAUUUUACCUACGCUUAGGAUGUUGACGAUCAGCUGAGCGCG
rnacentral:rRNA from 1 species